rnacentral:lncRNA from 1 species
CGCGUGCGCGCUGCCGCCUGCCCGCUGAGGGAAACUGCGCGUGCGCUUGAGCGCGGGAGUGGGCGCGCGCCUGUGGCGACCGUUAUGUGUAGCGUGGGCGGGAAAGCGGCUGUGAGGGGCUGGGUGGUAUCUGCGCAGAAGUGCGUUUGCGCAGGCGGGGUGGGAAAUACUGAGAAGUACAGUGGAGUUAACAGCCUGCCUGCCUGCAUUCCAGUUUACAACAGUAUCAUCAAUGACAACAAACAAAUAACUUCAUUCUAUGACUGGGAGGCUGCAAAUUACUUGACCUGUAGAAAUCUAGGCAUCAAGCAGUCAUAAUGUUAUCUAAAACCUCUGGAAAAGGUGGAUUGGACUCUUCUUGCAGCGUGUCUGCACAGCACCCCUGGCACUGAGGAGGAGGGUUGAUGUUUCAUGACUUCGGUUUUGGACUUUGGACAAGAGAUUUGCUUCUGUAAUCAGAAAGUUAAAAAUAUACCUUCUGCUGCUGUAAAAUCUGC